GGCGCCCUGUGCUGAUGCUCACCGCGUGACUAUCCGUUAUGCAUCCUGUGUGCGCUCUGGCUCCAUCGGGGGGGCCCUGACGAGUCAGCAACAAACCAUGCAUUACCACGUUUUGC
rnacentral:snoRNA from 1 species